rnacentral:rRNA from 1 species
GACGUAGGGCGCGAGCGUUUGUCCGGAUUUAUUGGGCGUAAAGAGCGUGUAGGCGGUUCGGUAAGUCUGUCGUGAAAUCCUGAGGCUCAACCUCGGACGUGCGAUGGAUACUGCCGGGCUAGAGGAUGGUAGAGGCGAGUGGAAUCCUAGUGUAGAGGUGAAAUUCGUAGAUAUUAGGAAGAACACCAGUGGCGAAGGCGGCUCACUGGUCCGGUACUGACGCUGAGGUGCGAAAGCGUGGGGAGCAAACAGG